AUGACAUCUACCUCCCUCAAGUUAUUGUGUCAUCUGGCACAGCUCUUAGGGAUUAAUUCUAGAUCCUUCACAGAGACUAUCAGCAGAAACUAAAAGAGCUAACAAAUUAAAAAAUGCACACCAUUAUGACAUCAAAAAUGAACCCAAUAAAGAAGGAAAACUCUAGGAGAUGCUGAGUCCAGGCAGCUCGGUCUGGGAACUUAGGUUUCACAGCAACAGCUUGAGUUGGGGGAGAGGGUUUCUCCCAUUCUCCAUGGAGAAGGCUGCUCGCUUUGGCCCACACACGGCUCUGGAGGACCUGGUAGUGACAGUAGACACAUGCAGCCAUGACUGGGCAGAGACCAGUCUGUGCCUGCAGUGCUGGCAAUAAAUGACUUGGCGGCAGCAAUGACAGAAGAUGGCAGCUUCAGCACAGGCAGGUCAAGACGCAGAGCUGCUGGGAAGACAGUGUAAUCCAGGGAGCCCCAGCAAGACAGAAGAAAAUGACACACACACCGGGGCAGCUGAGGGAGUGUGUCCACAGCCUGGGGCGCACGCCCAGAGGCUUCACUGCUGUUUUCUCAAGGUGAUGGAAAUAAGUGGUGACAAGACAGAAACGGUGCCCAUUCUCACAAAACUCACAUCCUAGUGGGGAACCAAGUAAACAAAUGAGAUAAUUUCAGGAAUGUUAUGGGGAAAAGAAUGAAGCUCCCAACUCUUUUAGACAUCGGAAUUGACAUGAAGUUCAUCCAGCACUUGCUAUGCUAGUCACGUAUAUAAAGGGGAGAGCAAAUCAACAUCUCUUCCCUUCUGCAGCCUUACCUUGUGGAAUGAGCAAGAGCCAUGGAUUUCUAAAAUGAUUUCAAAAAUCUUACAUUGUGUUAUGAACCAUAUGCCAGGGUUUAUUUCCUUAAAGUGUUAAAAGCC
rnacentral:lncRNA from 1 species